AUUGAACGCUGGCGGCAUGCUUUACACAUGCAAGUCGAACGGCAGCGCGGGCUUCGGCCUGGCGGCGCGUGGCGAACGGGUGAGUAAUACAUCGGAACGUGCCCAGCAGUGGGGGAUAGCUCGGCGAAAGCCGGAUUAAUACCGCAUACGACCUGAGGGUGAAAGCGGGGGAUCUUCGGACCUCGCGCUAUUGGAGCGGCCGAUGGCGGAUUAGCUAGUUGGUGGGGUAAAGGCCUACCAAGGCGACGAUCUGUAGCUGGUCUGAGAGGACGACCAGCCACACUGGGACUGAGACACGGCCCAGACUCCUACGGGAGGCAGCAGUGGGGAAUUUUGGACAAUGGGCGAAAGCCUGAUCCAGCAAUGCCGCGUGUGUGAUGAAGGCCUUCGGGUUGUAAAGCACUUUUGGCGGGAACGAAAAGGACUGUGCCAAUACCACGGUUCGAUGACGGUACCCGCAGAAUAAGCACCGGCUAACUACGUG
rnacentral:rRNA from 1 species